AGCCAAAUUUCUAAGUAUAGUGUAUUCUUGCUCUGGGAAUAUAGAGAAGGGUCCAUAAGCCAAUCUUUCUGAGUUCAAGAUGUCUUCCCUCAAGGGCAUGCAGAAUGUCACAAAAAAUGUGUUAAACCAGAGGAAUAGUCAUGAAGGGUCCAGAGAGACUGCAUGAGACUGAUCAGCAGUUAUAAUCCACCUGUACUCACCAACUGCUCAAGUGCUUUGCUGGUGAGAUCUCAUGCCUCAAGGAAAAUGGACCUGACAAUGGAAGACUGACACUUCUUCAUUAUAUUCAAGGGCUCAGCUUUUCAACUUACUUGGCAAUGUUAGUUAACUAAGCUUAUGAUUUUAAAACAAUUUGAAAGCAACUCUCUUUUCAAGUAAAAUCUUUCUAAAACCAUGCAUCAUUCCCAGAACCCAUAAAUGAAAUGCAAAUGUACAGUUGAAUUGGGUUUCACUCUGAGCAGAAAAUAGCUUACUGGUUUGAAUAUCUUGUCUCCUUAGGGGAUGUAUAAAUGCACACUCUGUUUCUGCUGAUUCCUUAUGGCCCAGAUUGGUAUACAUGUUUGUUAUUUAAUUUUAUUCAUUUUAUGUUUUCACAGCUUAUCUAAAUAUAAUUGACGUACAACAAACUAAACAUUUAAAAAGAAUGUUUUGCUCAUUUUCAACACAUGUAUACUCUUGAGAAUCAUUGAUCACAAAAAGAACACUAUCUACAUGAAUAUUAUCCUCAUACCUUCUAUAUUACCUGUUCCCAUUACUGCUGAUACCCAACCAACCACUGGCUCUUUUGGUACCAUUUGUUGAAAAGUUGCACUAUACACAUUUUUUAGCCCGACUUCCUCAGCAUUAUUAUUUAAAGAUUUAUUUUUACUAGUGGUAUUUAUCACUUGUAAUUCUUUAGAAAAAUCAAUUGCCUGGGUGUAGUAUAGUCUAUCCAUUAAGCAAAAGUGAGCAUUUGGAUAAAUUUUCAUUUUCAAAUUUGAUGAAUAAAGCUAGACAAUCACUUGAGUUAUUUGAUACAUGCUUUCCUUGCUUUUCAGCAAGUACACAGGUGUGGAUUCUUUGAUCAUGCAGUGUGUUCAUGUGUAAUGCUUUAAGGCAAAUGAACAGUUUUGUAAAGUCAUAUUUCAAUUCCAAUGUGGAGUUAUUCCACAUGGUCUUAAUUUCUUUUCUAUGGUUGUGAUAAAGUAGCCUGACAAAUGCACCUUAAGGGUUUAUUGUGCUCCUAGUUCCAUGUUACUCUCUGUUGCAGCAGAGCAGUUACAGUGGUAGGAGCUUAAGAAACCUGAUCACAUUAUUCCAGAGUCAAAGGAAAAUUGCAGUGAUUGCAUGCCAUGCCAUGUUAGUACUCAGCUUGCUUUAUGUAGUCUUUGAUCUUCUGCCUAGGGAGUGGCUUUACACAAACUUCAGAUAGGUUUCUGGAAGAUAACAGAAGUUUGUAUGAGCUAGUUUAUGCUGAAAAACAUGGUGCUGGUAUGGUAUCCAGUAUAAGUUAUCUGGGGCACCACAAGUCAGCUAAUAGUGGCUGAUAUUACAUUUUCAGAGAAACUCAAAUAUGCAUCAGUAUAAUCUAUAUUUGGCAGGAUGAUUCUUUUGUGUGAUUCUGUUUAAAUAUAGUCUUUAUCGGACUGUGUAUGUGUUUCUGCCUGUUUGCCUGUGUACCUACUUCUGUGUAGCCUGUGUACCACUUUUAAAAUGAGCUUAUUCUCGCUUGUGUGAAACUUAUAUUAGACAGUGAGGCAGAAACUUCCAUCCUUCCGAACUGCUAUUGUCUUAGCUUCUUGUUGUGAGACACACAUUGUUGGACUACUUGAAACAUAGCCUGUAAGCCAGUCAAGUAAACCCUUUAGUGUUUUAAUUCUUUCAGUUCUGUCCAUUUAAUAAACUGUGAUUACUACAUAAUUCUUUAAAUGUCUACAAUCCAUAUGCAUUUAAAUCGGCAUAAAUAAUACUCAAUAAGAGUUUCCAUUGUUAACAUUGAAGUCGUUUAUUUUUUAAAUCCUAACUAAUUAAUUUAAUAUAAAUAAAUAAAAAUCUAAAAG